GUCCCUCCGGGCGCGGUGGUGACGGUCCUGCUGCUGACGGGCCGGGUUCCUGCGGCCCCCCGAGGGUGUGUGGCCGCGUCCUCGCAAGGGCACCUUGAGCCGGCCCCGAGCGCGCCGGGAGCGCGGGCGUGCGCGGCCCGCAGCAGUCCGCGGUGGGGACGCGCGGCAAGAAUCCCGGGCCGCUGGCUCCGCGGCGCCGCAUCGGGGAGGGAGGACGGGAGGCUUCAGUUGUUCGGCUCCUUGCAUACUUCUGCGGGCCCCAGGACCUCCUUGGGUCAUACCUGACCUUGACCUCAUUUGAAGACUGAAUAGGCGACAUUGCAAAUCCAUCUUAACACGGGAAAGUCAAUUAUGUUGAACUGGUGCUUCACGGUGGAGGCCCAAGAUGGAGUCACUUGCUUCCAGUCCUGCAAACCAGAACAAGUCUUGCAAACCAAAACUUAACUUCAAACUUCACAGGAGUGGAAUUUUAAGCCAGUCAAUCUGGAAUUUUCCAGUCUGUAUCAAUGAGGUAAUCUGUCAUGAGGGCCCUCUCCACCCACCUCCACGGCUAAAGGAGAUGCAGUAAUCUGCAUAAGACCCCUCUCUUUUCUUUUGCUAAUAACUUUUUGCUCCACCCUCGUUCCUAUAAAAACCUUCCAUUUUAUACAACUCCUUGGAGCAUCUUGCUAGAAGGAAUGUUGCCCCAUUCAUGAAUCCCUCCAAUUAGAUUUAAAAUUUACUGAUCGAAUUUGAAUUUUGUUUUUUAAGGAUAGCAGCCACCUUUUGUUAACCAGUAGGCACUUCUUGUAGAGUAAUUCUUACAACCCAGAAGGGGUGGGGGUGGGGUCCUGAGGAAACUGAAUGACUUCUUCAAUAAAACCAAACUGCUUCUGCAAGAUUAAUGGGGAAGGGACCCUCCCCAAUACCCAAUGUGAGAAAGGGCUCCUGGAUCUCACAGUGGCUCAGUCUUAAAUACCCUGGUAUUUUCCUUCUUCUCAGGAACAGUGGCUCAGAAGACCUCCUGCAGAUUCCUAGAUCCCUACCUUAGAGCUUCGGGAGGUUGGAGCGGCCCAAAAAGCUGCUCUUCUGAGAGCCUUUACUUAGGAUCUCAUGAACUGUGACAGCGUCAAAGAGGCUUAUCCCUUGUAGCAUUUCCCAAAUUUCCUUAAUCACAGAGUGCUUUCGGAAGGAGCACUUGUAGGAUUGGUGGUCCGGGCGUUCCAGCGGCUGUACACCCUCCCAGCCAGGGUGUGCCAGCAGAAGAAACAGGACCUUCACGUCAGCCACUCCUGUCUCUGCUUUGGGUUUUGGCAGCGACCGACAGCAGACCCCCUGUGUUUCGGACCCCUGGAGCCAAGUGCCUGUGCACCCCUGCGCCCCGGCUACAACGGCAUCAACAGAAAUGGAAGCUCACACCUCUGACUACAGACUUCGCCCGUGGUGGGAGCCAGCCUGCCUUCUCUGCAGCUGUGGGUCAGGGUAGGGAUGAGCUCUAUGGCUGUGACUACAGGAGCCUGGGAAGCCCUCUGAUCUGCCCUGACACCGGAUGAAAUUCUACCUUUGUGAGGAUGAGAGGGCUUGUGUUGAUAGAACAAGAAGCCUUGGGGAGGGGCUCCCCCUGGCUAAACCCAGGACAAUUUGAGUAUCAGGAAGAACAGUGACUACAAGCAACGGGGGGACGCCUCUUUCCCACGAUCCUCAAGGCAGAACAAAAAGAUGUAAAGAAAGACCACAGAAUGGGAGAACAUUUCUGCGAAUCAUGUAUCUGAUAAGGGACUUGCACCAAGAUACUGAAAGAAUGCUUACAACCUGGUAAUAUAAAGACAACCCAGUUAAAGAAAAAACAAAGGACUGAAUAGAGAUUUCUCCGAAGAAGAUACACAAAUGGCCAACAGGCUCAUGAAAGGAUGCUCAGCGUUAUCCACCCUCCGGGGAUGAUAAAGCCGUAAAGAGACACUGCUCCCACUUUGCGGAGGGGCAGCCAAUGGAGCGCAGCAGGUGUCAGUCAGGAGGUGGAGGAAGAGGCGGCCUCACAGAGUGGGGCAGCAGCUCUGGAGAACAGUCUGGCAGUUCUUCCAAUGACUAAGCACAGAGCUGCCACAUGACUCAGCAAUCCCGCUCCCAGAUCCCCACCCAAGAGAACUGAGAACAUAUGUUCACACAGCCCUUGUAUCCAAAUGCUCAUAGCAGCAUUGUAAAUAACAGCCAAAAAGUGAAAACAACCCAAAUGUUGGAUCAACUGACGGAUAGAUAAGUAAAAUGUGGAAUAACCAUAUGAUGGACUAUUAUUCAGCAAUAAAAAGAAAUGACGUUCUGGCACGUGCUACCACAUGGACGGAUCCUGCAGGCACUAUGCUUAUGGAGACGCCAGGCACACGGGACCACAUACGGUGUGAUCCCACUCACAUGAAACAGCCACAGUGGGCACAUCCGGGGACACGGUAAAUAGUCCGGUGGCCGUGAGGAGCGGGCGUGGGUAUGCAGUCUCCUUCCAGGGGGUGAAAAUGCUCCAACAUGGGCUGUGCUGAUGGUGGUACAGCUCUGGGAAUGUGCUAAAACCCAGUGCAUUGUACACUUCAAAGGGGGAAACUGAUGCCUGGGUCGCUCAGUCAUGAAGCGUCUGCCUUUGCCUCAGGUUGUGACCCUGGGAUCCUGGGAUCGAGCCCCUCCCUCAUGGGCUCCCUGCUCGCGAAAACUGCUUCUCCCUCUGCCUUGCCGCUCCCCCUCUUGUGCUCUCUCUCUGUCAAAUAAAUAAAUAAUCUUUAAGGAGAGGAAAUGGCAUGAUAUGUGAAUUUUAUCCCAGUAAAGUUAUUUUUAAGAACUUAACAGUAAACAAACAAAAAACAAACUUAAAAAUGCCCAGAAAAAAAGCAAACAACACAAAAACCUGAAACUCCUUUGUCGUAUCUAGUGCACCAACUCUUUUGGUAAUUAAAGGGAAAGAAGCAUUUACCUGUAUGAACUUUUCAGAUAAUCCUAGUGAUGAAGGAAAGCUCUUCUCAGAAUAAAGUCAGCUAAUAAAUAUGAAAGAAUGGUGAAAUUAAAAGAACACCAGUUUGCAAUCCCUAGGGAAAUGACGGAUUCCGAUGAAAAUCAGCAAGGAAUGCUAAAACCAUUCUGUAAAUAAAAGGGAGGGGGAUCUUUAAAGUGAUUAUUUGCUGUCUGAAAAGGGAGAUGCAAAUUUACAAGGAGGGAUCGAGGAGAUCCUACUUAACAUUACCAUUAGAGGACAGUCCCUCCCGGUGUGAUGCCUCCUCAGGGUCCCAGCCCCGCAGGUGGAGUCCACCCACGUCAGGAACCUGAAUCGGAUCAAGCCGGCCCACAGGAAGUGAAAGGAUUGAAAGAAGUCACCCAAGGAAACAAUGAGGAAGUCAUCAGACUUGUCCAGCAAGUGGACCACUUAAUAGGACAACAGAGCCACUGAACCCCUCUCCCACACGGCCCUGGCGUGAGGGAAAAGGGACUAGGAAUAGAACCGGCGCCACACGCAGAACUUUAUGUUUUUAGUAACCACAAUAAGACUGGAAAAAGAAAUAGGGUCUGCUCCAGAAAACGGAAUACAAAUAUCUCCAAAAUGUAUCGCAUAAUGGAACAAGGCAACAAGAGAACCAUCAGUGUCCUGUUUUCAAAUUCCCAUAAAUCCCCCGUCUCAGCUAACACGGCUAGAGCACCGUCUGUCGGGACAGAAGUUAGCUUACCCACCCUUAGCGGUCACUCCAGACUCAAAAACACCCCCUGCAUGGAUCAGCUUUCCGGGCCGCGAAUGGGCAAAGUUUCUUUCUACAUCUGAAAUUCUGUUGUUCAUUUUGGAUCUGGUUUCAUACGGGAGUUGCACAGCUAUCCGCCUGAACUUACCCGGACGAGAAAGGCCACCCUGAGCAGUGUGGACACGGACGCGGCUUCAGGUCUCUCUGAGGAGAGUGUGUGCAUUCCCAUCGUUCAUGAAGGGCAGGUGCCUGUCAGGUGGGCAUGUGGCUGGGCCAUUGCUGCUUUCGGUACAGGGAGAGGGCGGCGAGGACGUGGGGUGGCCACAGCCUGCAGUGUGGACGGCGUCAUGGACCGGUGUUCUUGUGCUGCGGAUAUUCCAAAGCCAGAACCGGUAUUGCUCAGGCUUUCCUGCAGCACCGGCUUCGCCCGGUGACCUGGGCUGAGGUCAGAGCCCAGUGGGAGGGGGUUGUCCUUGCGAGGCGCGGAGCGGACCCGAGUCUGGUCCAGGGCUGCGGUCGCUGCAGGCUGAGCUGGGUGGCCGGUGGUGGGGCGGGGGUGUCUCUGCCCGCGGAGCCCUGCGCUGUGGGGACACAGCUCUGGCGGUGUUGUCGCUCGCCGAGCAGCGUCCAGGUCUGCUCUCCUGACAGCUCUCCACAUUGCUUCGUAUUCUUUAUGAUUCUCUUUCUGCUUAACCUGGCGAGAGUGGAUUUUCUUGUCUUGAAGACUCCUGACCGACACGCGAGAAUGGCAGCGUCUAGCGGAACUUUCUGUGGUCAUGGAAAUGUGCUAGUCUCUGCCAUCCAACACGGGAGCCCCAGCCUCGUCGUGUGGCUGUGGGACACUUGGAAAGCAGCCAGCGUGGCCAUGGGACUGAAGUUUGAACUGCAUUUAAUUCUUUUUUUUUUAUUUUAAGAUUUUACUUAUUUGUCAGCAAGAGAGAGAGGGAGAGAGAGGACAAGCAGGGGGAGCAGCAGGCCGAGGGAGAAGCAAAUUCCCUGCUGAGCAGGGAGCCCUGUGCGGGGCUCGAUCCCAGGACCCUGAGACCAUGACCUGAGCCAAAGGCAGACGCUUAGCCAACUGAGCCAGCCAGGUGCCCAUGAACUGUAUUUAAUUCUGAGUGUAAAUGUAAAUAGCCAAAUGUGGGUUAGUGGCCACUCUGCUGGACAGCAUGACAUCAACUGCAGGCAGGGUGUGCCUGGAGACUGACUGAUGGGACACAGUGGCCAAGGUCAUGGCAGACAGGUGCGCCAGGCUAGGCACCAGACAUGCUCUAGAAAAGCAGCCGUGCUGGAGUUCUCCUUUAACACAGUAAAGGGAUGGAGACAUCAUUGUCUUCUGUUAGAAUUUUGAGCUGCAGGGUGGACAGAGGGUUUGAGAAGCAUUGUUGAAGCAGGAAGGCCAGAUAGGAGGUGUCCAAGGUGGCCGAGGUGAGAGUGGGGACCAGCGGAAGGGAGUGUGACCCAGCACCAGCAGGAUGUGAUGACCCAUGACUAUGAGGGGCGGGAGAGAGGCUUCGGACCAAAGGAUCUCUGCAUGUAACCUUUGGAAAUGGUGCGUGUGGAAGUUUUGCAACUGAGUCAGGAAUCUGGAGGAGAGGCCAAAUUUGAGUCUGCGGGGAGCUGAUCUGCACCCUCUGGUGGUGGUCGGUGACCACUGCAAACACACCGACGGCCCGUGCCCUGUGCUGGGCGCAGUAGUGAACUUAGGUGAUGGACCUGCCACGUCAAUGAGGCCGCCUAACCCACCCGAGGACGCCUAUUUAGAAUAUUAUACGGCCCCCAGUUCAAUACCUCAUCUAUGUAUUCGUUAACAAAUCGUUUUUUGUGAGAGGCAUUGUGCUGAGCUGGGAACAGAAAGAACACUUCCUUCCUCCGCGGUGUCCCAGGCAGCGGGAAAUGGGAGCAGCAAAGCCAAGGUCUCUACAAAGCUUAUUUGCUGUAGCACAGGCUCUUGGGGGGGACAACGGGGUCUGGAGAAGGUUUUAUGGACACACUGAGCUGGCAGGAAAACGACAGGCGGGAUUUUGUUUGCUGGUAAGAAACCCUCGCGACCAGCGUUGCACCCAAAUCUGCCUACAGCACGCGGCUCCAAGUAGCGGAGCAGGAGAUGGCUGGACACAGACAGAGCUGUGGCUAAAGCAAGUCUCCGUGCCGUUCCGUGACGGAGCUGCCUGGGACCCGCUGUGUACUUGAUGGCAUGCACGACUUGGUGUGACUGUGUCCGGCUCAGAGGACGGCCAAAUCCUCUUCAUUUUCUGCAAGGUGAACACAGUCUUACUGAGUUAGAGCUCUCCGGAGAAAUGGAUCCAAUAGGAGGUAUGUUUCUAUCUCCAGCUACACAUCUAUACCUCCAUUUCUAUUUUCCUAUCUACCGUUGAUCAAUCGAUCGAUCCGGCUAGCUAUCAAGGGAGAGGGAGACAUUUAUUUGAAGGAACUGGCUCACACUGCCGUGAGGACUAGCAGCUCUAAUGUGCGUACACUGAGCUGCGGGCUGGAGGUUCAAGUAAGCGUUGGUGCUGACGUGUGUGUCUGACGGUUGGACACUCAGGCAGGGUUUCUGUGUCGUCUUGAGGACAAUUCCCUCUUUGGGAAACCUUAGUCUUUGCUCUCACGGCCUUCAUCCGAUUGGUUGGAGCCCAGGACCCAGGAUCUGCUUAACUUAGAGUCAACUAAUUGUAAGUGUCCAUCACGUCUGAACAAUGCCGUCAGGGCAACGUCGGGACGGGAGUCUGAGCAGACACGCGGGCACCGUGUGCAGCAGCCCUGCCUUCUCCAAUGUAUGUGGGGGUCCUGGAAGGUUUGGAGGAAACAGAAGUCUGAAAACCACUGGAACCUGAGGGGUGUGGGAGCCCUCCGGCUUCCUUUCACUGAAAACAUCAGGGCAGUUGCUUGUCUGUGCUGUGAGGCCAAAAUUCAUUAUUUUGUCAUUAAUCCUCCGCAGGGUUUAGAGACUGAACUUUCACUACUGUGCAUAUCAAAGCCUGUUGGGUGGAGUUCUACAUGAUUUUGAAUUCCUUUGGGUGUCUACUAGUGGGGAUAUUUUGUAGCAAGGCUACACUUGUUAGCAAAACUCAAGGCUCUAAAAAUGAGUUUUCAAUUUAUGUAAAGAGCCUAAUUCUUAUCUUCAUUUCUCCUUUAAAAAAAUCUCUUCCUCAAUCUGAAUACUUACCUUUUCAGCUGUUAUUUAGGACUAAAACCAAAACCUGAUGGGUGGAGUUUCUACGGCCAUAGUUUUAAAUGACAAAGAAGCAAGUCUGGGCACAGCUCGAGUGUGUCUGGAAUGGUGCUGACAGCGUGUGGGGUGACAGGGGGCAGCUACACGCGUGGCGAGCACAGCAGAGCACAUGGAUGUGUCCAGUCACCCUGUUGUACACCUGAGACCAACACUGCAUCCCGUGUCCGCCGAACUGCAGUGAAACGGAAGCCAAGUCCGAAGCCCAUGCUGUUGACGUAGCUCCGAACGAUCCGGGUCUCCAGGUCACAAUCUCAGCUUUGGUCCGGAGCAGAACUGCAGGAGAGCCGGGCUCGGGGGUGAACUGGGGUCCCACGCUUGCAGGAAGGAAAGACCUGUGGAUAGAUUUCAUGGGAAAACACUGAAAUUAAUGGAACUCACUGCCAACACUGAUGCUUCUGAGCCGAACCCACAGCUCUGGUUAGAAAGUGGGGCUUUCCUGGCGAAGCUCAGCGGGGAGUGAGAGCAGCGUAUGGGGAAUGGUGUCGUGCCAGAUGCUUGUUUGAUGUUUCUCCUCGCGAGAGUAAAGUGACAAACACAUACCCAA